UGACCUUUUAACAUGGAAUGGUUUGGGUCAUAAAGGACCUGAAACAUAUUGCAUGAUUCCUGGCGAUAUGUCUCGAUUCCUGGGGAUAUCUCAUGGCUCCUGGGAUGGGAUAUCUCACAAUUCCCGGGACAUCUCAGCAUUCCCGGGACAUCUCUGGAUUCCCUGGCACAUCCCACGAUUCCCGGCACAUCUCACAAUUCCCGGCACAUCUCAGCAUUCCCUGGCACAUCUCUCGAUUCCCGGGACAUCUCUCGAUUCCCGGGACAUCCCACGAUUCCCGGGACAUCUCUGGAUUCCCGGGACAUCUCACAAUUCCCAGGACAUCUCAGCAUUCCCAGGCACAUCUCACAAUUCCCGGGACAUCUCACAAUUCCCGGGACAUCCCACGAUUCCCGGCACAUCUCAGCCCAUCCCGGGAUGCGGCCGGACCCGCGGCGCGCCCCGCCCCUCCCUCCUCCUCGCCCUCCCAUUGGCCGGGGGGACGCGGCCUCAGCCAAUCAGCGCGCGCCUUCCCCGCCACGCCCUGGCAACAGCGGCGGCUGCCGGCGGGUUCGGCUGAGGAGCGGCGGCACCGGCACGGAACGGACCGGAACGGACCGGAACGGACCGGAACGGACCGGAACCGGCACGGAACCGGCACGGAACCGGCACGGAACCGGCCACGGAACCGACCUCCCCCCGGGGCUGCCCCGGUGCCAUAAAGCCGCCCCAGCAUCACCCGCCGAGCGCUCCCAGCGCCGGGAGUUGUCUGGUUCCGUGUCACAUCCCUGUCCUGGGCGCUGGAAUAAUCCUGGAUAUUCGAUACAUUUCUCUAUUCAAUAUAAUUCCGUAUUUAAUACACUUAUACAUUCAAUAUACUUAUUUCACUUAUACAUUCAAUAUACUUAUAUUAUCAAUAUACUUGUGUAUACACAAUCAUUGAAUAUUCUUAUAUAUUCAAUAUACUUAUACAUUGAAUAUACUGUAUAUUGAGUAUACAUAAACAUUGCAUAUACUCAUAUAUUAAAUAUACUUAUAUAUUGAGUAUACAUAAACAUUGAAUAUGCUCAUAUAUUGAAUAUAGUCAUGUAUUGAAUACACUUAUAUAUUCC
rnacentral:lncRNA from 1 species